rnacentral:rRNA from 1 species
UCUCAGUUCGGAUUGGAGUCUGCAACCCGACUCCAUGAAGCUGGAUUCGCUAGUAAUCGCGCAUCAGCCACGGCGCGGUGAAUACGUUCCCGGGCCUUGUACACACCGCCCGUCAAGCCAUGGAAGCCGGGGGUGCCUGAAGUGCGCUGCCGCGAGGAGCGCCCUAGGGUAAAACCGGUGACUGGGGCUAAGUCGUAACAAGGUAGC